ACCGUAAUAGCUCAGUUGGGAGAGCGUUAGACUGAAGAUCUAAAGGUUCCUGGUUCGAUCCCGGGUUCGGCA
rnacentral:tRNA from 1 species